rnacentral:lncRNA from 1 species
AAAACUAUUACCCAUGCUACACUAUGCUUCAAGACAAAAUUUCAUUUAUUUGUAAUUAGAAAUAAAUAUUUCACUAUAUAUAAUUACAUAUUGUUUCUGUGAUUAAUCACUAUGCUUUAAUUAUGUUCAAUUUGUAACAAUGAAAAUAAAUCCUGCAUAUCAGAUUAUUACGAUUCAUAACAAUAGCAAAAUUACAGUUAUGAAAUAGCAAUGAAAAUCAUUUAUGGUUGGGGUCACCACAACAUGAGGAACUGUAUUAAAGGGUCGCGCCAUUAGGAAGGUUGAGAACCACUGGUUUAAACAGUAUGAACAUCACUUUUUUAGAAACCUGCAAAAACUAUCUGGAUCAGUUCUUUACUUAGAAAUCCCAAAACUUCUCUAAAUGCAGGUCAUGCAGAUACCAGAGAGAUGGUAUAAAGUUAUUGAACAAAACUGCAUAUUUAUUUAAUUAAU